AGUUUAAUUCUACAGCAAUGUUCUAACAACUCUGACAAAAGCUGACUCACCUAAUAAUUAUACAAAAGAAGCAGAAGAGGAAGUAGAAAGCUGCUGUCAACAGACUCAUGUGCAGCGGCAGCUCGCGAAGGUUACGUGUUUCACUGGAGUCUUCAGCAUCUUCAGGAGGAGGAGAAGCCCAGUCAAACUGAACUCCGCUGCUCUGCUGAGCAGGAGCCGGAGCCGCAACUGUCCGUAACCUCAGGGAAUGGUGGGAGACAUCGGGACUAGGGUAGUCUGAUGGAUAUAGGCCGCCAAAGGUCGAUCAUCAGAAGUAUCUGUACUGGGCCAUCUACUUGUCUCCAGGUGUAACCCAUCCUUGUGAUGUCUGCCUCUGUUUCUUGGACGGCCUCUUCCGCUUCCCUUGGCGGUUCCAUCUGAAAGCCUGUCUGGUGAUGCUAGUUGGUGGUUUGCGUAAUGUGUGCCCUAUCCGACCCCAUCUUCUCUUCCAGAUUUCUGCUUCUAUUGGACGUUGACAGGUCCUUCCACAUAGGUCGGUGUU
rnacentral:lncRNA from 1 species